rnacentral:rRNA from 1 species
UACGGGGGGGGCAAGCGUUGUUCGGAAUUACUGGGCGUAAAGGGCUCGUAGGUGGCCAACUAAGUCAGACGUGAAAUCCCCCGGCUUAACCGGGGAACUGCGUCUGAUACUGGAUGGCUUGAGUUCGGGAGAGGGAUGCGGAAUUCCAGGUGUAGCGGUGAAAUGCGCAGAUAUCAGGAGGAACACCGAUGGCGAAGGCAGGUCUCUGGGCCAUAACUGACGCUGAGAAGCGAAAGCAUGGGGAGCGAACAGG